AGAUCUUGUAUCAUCAAUGUCAAGCACAUAAAUGAAAGAAAGGAGGAUGAGGACCUACGAAUUAUGGUAGUGAAGUUGAAUAACUAGAAGAAGAGAUUGAGAGAUUAAGUUUUUCUUUUUUUUAUUUUAUUUUAAAUAGGACCCACAUUUAUAAUUAAAAAUUAUUUUUAAUUAAAAAAUUAAUACUACAUUAGCAAGUAUUAACGGUGUUAGGGUAAAAAACCUUUCUAUAUGUAACCAUAGGGUAUUCUUUGUCACAAACUUAACUUCAGAAGUGAAAAGGCGUAAAAUCACAUAGUACUUUUUUGUAAUUUCCCUAAUUUAAAUCCUAUGCAUGAUCCAAUGGGUUAUAUAAAUUGAAUCUCCUCAACUACUUUCACAACUUAGUUACUUUUUAGGCUUGAUGAUGGGAUUAGUUUGAAAGCGUGUGUUCACGAAUGCUCUCUUUUUCUUCCUGCCCUUCCUUGCAUCCUUCUUGUGCAGUUGUUCCUAUUUUCCUUCCUCUAGAUUUCUUCUCGAAUCCCACUGAAGACUAUUAAGAUAUUCAAAUCCUAGCCAAGAAAUUUUGGCACUUUUUUUUUCCUUUUCUAUUUCCAAAAAUAUAGAAAUUAUUUUAACAUUUCUGAAUCCUAAAAUUGCAGAAACACAGAACCAAAAUGCUUUAUGAUGUCCCUAAUGUGAGAUCUAGACCACAAUUAUAAAUUUCUCAAGUCUUUUAAUCCUUCUUCCUGAGUCCCAUAUCGUGUACAAUUGAGCUUGCAUUGCUUGAGAUCUAACGAGUAUUCAUUUACUUUUUUUCUUCAGAAUUGCAAGAUAUUCUCCCUCAAGUUCUAAGCCAUUUGGGUAUGCAAAUUCCAAAUUUUGCUUCGCAGUAGUAUCUUGGG
rnacentral:misc_RNA from 1 species